rnacentral:rRNA from 1 species
UACGUAGGGGGCGAGCGUUGUCCGGAUUCAUUGGGCGUAAAGCGCGCGUAGGCGGCCCCGCAAGUCGGCCGUGAAAUCUCCGGGCUCAACUCGGAGGGGUCGGGCGAGACUGCGAGGCUCGAGGUGGGCAGAGGGCAGUGGAAUUCCGGGUGUAGUGGUGGAAUGCGUAGAUAUCGGAAGGAACACCAGUGGCGAAAGCGGCUCCCUGGUCCAGCACCGACGUUCAGGCACGAAAGCGUGGGGAGCAAACAGG